GACGUAGGGCGCGAGCGUUUGUCCGGAUUUAUUGGGCGUAAAGAGCUCGUAGGCGGCUUGUCGCGUCGACUGUGAAAUCCCGAGGCUCAACUUCGGGCUUGCAGUCGAUACGGGCAGGCUAGAGUUCGGUAGGGGAGACUGGAAUUCCUGGUGUAGCGGUGAAAUGCGCAGAUAUCGGGAAGAACACCCGUGGCGGAAGGCGGCUCUCUGGGACGGUACUGACGCUGAGACGCGAAAGCGUGGGGAGCGAACGAGGA
rnacentral:rRNA from 1 species